UACGGGGGGGGCGAGCGUUGUUCGGAAUUACUGGGCGUAAAGGGCGCGUAGGCGGUUCGCUAAGUUGGAUGUGAAAACUCUGGGCUCAACCCAGAGCCUGCAUCCAAAACUGGCGGGCUAGAGUUCUGGAGGGGGUAGCGGAGUUCCUGGUGUAGCGGUGAAAUGCGUAGAUAUCAGGAGGAACACCGGUGGCGAAGGCGGCUACCUGGACAGAAACUGACGCUGAGGCGCGAAAGCUAGGGGAGCAAACAGG
rnacentral:rRNA from 1 species